CGGGUGGCAUUCCUACAGGAAGCCGCACCGGCGAGAAUCCUACAAGUGUAUACUGUUGUAGACCGCUUGGAUCCCUGGGACCGAGACGGAAGG
rfam:Clostridiales bacterium PH28_bin88 ph28_412, whole genome shotgun sequence.